CUCAGUUUUCCCACUAUGCCAAACGUCCUCCGAGCCUAAGGUACCUUCCAACAAUGACUGUCUCUGAGUUUAGAGUUUCAGAUUCUGGCCCAGAGCUCCAAGACCACCAGCAGAAUGGAGGUAGGGAAAGGAAAGCGGUGAAGGCUUCCUGGAGGUGGGGGCAUGAGACACAAACUAUCAGACUAUCAGACUAGCCCUCUUCUCCACCUGCACAGCCACAGACCACUUCCUCCUUCAUCUGGACCAUGACCACAACCGCCUGCUCACCAGCCUCUUGCCUUGCCCUCCGUCUCCAAUCCCCAUCAUUGAUCCUCCCCCAAGAGCUGUCAGAGGAAUCACUACUGACACAAACCCACGAGCCUGUCCGUGCUUGGCCCAUUUCAAAACCCUGCAAUGCCAGCCUCCCCGCAAGCCAACACAGUAGGGUCCUCAGGCCUCAACCGUAUUCCUGUCCACUCUCUCCCAGGAUCGUAUGCUAACAGAUGAAUGAACAGACAGCAAAUUCUACUAUCCCUGAAUGUUUCCCAAAGGGACAAGCGGGCAGUGCAUGCCUGUGUGUGUGAGGGAGGAAGUUGCCUGAGUCCUGAAGGAUUUGCUCGCUUUUGGGAGACUGCUUCAAGAUUCCCCCAGCCCCUGCCCUGGCUUCCUGUUUCUCUGGGGUUCCCAGGCCUUUUUCUCCAUGUGUUGUGGAGCUCUUAGAGGGCAGGGAUCCAGGGCUCAUUCAUUCAAUCAGCAAACAUCCAAGAAGCACCUACUAUGUUCCAGGCUCUGUGCUGGGCCCUGGAGACCCUGAAGUGAAUCACAGCUCCUGCCUUCAAGGGCUUCACAGACAACCACCACUCUAUCAGACUCAG
rnacentral:lncRNA from 1 species